GAUGAACGCUGGCGGCGUGCCUAAUACAUGCAAGUCGAGCGAACAGACGAGGAGCUUGCUCCUCUGACGUUAGCGGCGGACGGGUGAGUAACACGUGGAUAACCUACCUAUAAGACUGGGAUAACUUCGGGAAACCGGAGCUAAUACCGGAUAAUAUAUUGAACCGCAUGGUUCAAUAGUGAAAGACGGUUUUGCUGUCACUUAUAGAUGGAUCCGCGCCGCAUUAGCUAGUUGGUAAGGUAACGGCUUACCAAGGCGACGAUGAGUAGCCGACCUGAGAGGGUGAUCGGCCACACUGGAACUGAGACACGGUCCAGCCUCCUAGGGGAGGCGGAAGAAGGGAAUUUUGCGCAAUGGGCGAAAGCCUGCCGGAGCAACGCCGCGUGAGUGAUGAAGGUCUUCGGAUCGUAAAACUCUGUUAUUAGGGAAGAACAAAUGUGUAAGUAACUAUGCACGUCUUGACGGUACCUAAUCAGAAAGCCACGGCUAACUACGUG
rnacentral:rRNA from 1 species